CCAAAAUCAAAAAUCGGAUGUCCAACCUACUGAGCCACUCAGACGCCCUGAGAAGGUUUUAAAAGGAUGGAAAAGGAUGGACAAUUUACCAGGCAGAGAAAAAGAGGGACAGAGUGCUUGGCAGACACUGACACACAAAGUGAAAUGAUAAAUUUGGGAAAUUAACCAAACUAUAGGAGCAAAGGAAACACAAACUGGGGCUGAUGGUGGGAAACCAUAUAACCUCUCUGAGCUUGGUUUCUCCAUCUGUAAAGUGGGAAUAUUAAUAUUGCACACAGUUGAUAUGAGUCAACUACAACAAUGGAGAAAGAAUGCUUAGGGCAAAGCACUCCAAUCUUACUUCAAAUAAACUCAUCAUAAUCCCUUACAUUCCAAAUUCUACUCACCUCCCCCCAACUUCCACCUGCAAUCUUCAUUUGGCAUGGGCAUCCAUUAAAUCAGAUGAACGCACCCUUUCCUGCCAGAGGAUGAUAAAUGCUCUGGAGAAAAAUAAAGCAGAAGAGAGACACAGGGAGGUGCCAGGCUAAGGGUGGGUUUCCUCUUUCAAAUAGGGUGGUCAGGGAAGGCCUCUCUGAUAACAUGACAUUGACCAAAGAACUGCAGAAGUGAGGAUGUGAGUCAUACAAGUGCCUAGGGGAAAGCCUUCCAAGCAGACAGAACAGCAAGUGCAGAUGUGGCCUGUGUGUUCCCUUAGCAUGUUGUCCCUACUGUUAUAAUAAUUUACCACAUUACUUUUGCUUUAACCAUUUACAUAUUGGUCUCCAGGAUUAGACUGUGGGUUCUUUAAAACUGUAUCCUUCUCCUAGUAGUAUCCCGAGUACCUAGUGCAUAAUGCAUGACACAUGGUCAGUAAAUAUCUGAUGAGAAACCAAAUAAGUGACAGAAAGUAUAAAGAGAUACGUGGUUUAAAUGCCUGAGGUCACACAGCUGGUCAGGGGCAAGGCCAAACUAGAACACCAGAACUCUGGUUCUCAUCAGAAAGCAAGGUGGUGCAUUUUAAUGGAAGCUAUUUUUCUAGCUGAUUUUCCUUGAAGAAUCAGUUGUAUCAGUAUGUAUUGAGAGACAGAGUAGAUGUGACCAUAUCAUGGGCCAGAACCACAAGCCUCCUCAAGUUAUGGGCUUUAUUUUAUUUUUUUUUAUUUUUUAUUUUUUUUAGUUAUGGGCUUUAUUAAGUAUCCCCACUGCUCUAAUUCCAGGAAUCAUUUCAUAAAUGGCUAGGUAUGGGGCCAAGAAAGAAGAAUGGAAAAAAAUCAAUAAAUUGUCUCUCGGAAGUCA
rnacentral:lncRNA from 1 species